rnacentral:miRNA from 1 species
UUUGUAUUAGGUGCGGAAAUUGUUACCAUUUUUGAGCCGAAAAUGAUAACAAUUUCCGCACGUAAUACAAA